CUCAGGACGAACGCUGGCGGCGUGCCUAAUACAUGCAAGUCGAACGCUUCUUUCCUCCCGAGUGCUUGCACUCAAUUGGAAAGAGGAGUGGCGGACGGGUGAGUAACACGUGGGUAACCUACCCAUCAGAGGGGGAUAACACUUGGAAACAGGUGCUAAUACCGCAUAACAGUUUAUGCCGCAUGGCAUAAGAGUGAAAGGCGCUUUCGGGUGUCGCUGAUGGAUGGACCCGCGGUGCAUUAGCUAGUUGGUGAGGUAACGGCUCACCAAGGCCACGAUGCAUAGCCGACCUGAGAGGGUGAUCGGCCACACUGGGACUGAGACACGGCCCAGACUCCUACGGGAGGCAGCAGUAGGGAAUCUUCGGCAAUGGACGAAAGUCUGACCGAGCAACGCCGCGUGAGUGAAGAAGGUUUUCGGAUCGUAAAACUCUGUUGUUAGAGAAGAACAAGGACGUUAGUAACUGAACGUCCCCUGACGGUAUCUAACCAGAAAGCCACGGCUAACUACGUGCCAGCAGCCGCGGUAAUACGUAGGUGGCAAGCGUUGUCCGGAUUUAUUGGGCGUAAAGCGAGCGCAGGCGGUUUCUUAAGUCUGAUGUGAAAGCCCCCGGCUCAACCGGGGAGGGUCAUUGGAAACUGGGAGACUUGAGUGCAGAAGAGGAGAGUGGAAUUCCAUGUGUAGCGGUGAAAUGCGUAGAUAUAUGGAGGAACACCAGUGGCGAAGGCGGCUCUCUGGUCUGUA
rnacentral:rRNA from 1 species